rnacentral:tRNA from 1 species
GGGGUUGUGGCUCAGUGGUAAAGCGCUUGCCUAGCAUGUGUGAGGCAGUGUCCGAUUCUCAGCACCA